rnacentral:rRNA from 1 species
UACGUAGGGCGCAAGCGUUGUCCGGAAUUACUGGGCGUAAAGAGCUCGUAGGCGGUUUGUCGCGUCUGCCGUGAAAGCCCGGGGCUCAACUCCGGAUCUGCGGUGGGUACGGGCAGACUAGAGUGAUGUAGGGGAGACUGGAAUUCCUGGUGUAGCGGUGAAAUGCGCAGAUAUCAGGAGGAACACCGAUGGCGAAGGCAGGUCUCUGGGCAGUAACUGACGCUGAGGAGCGAAAGCGUGGGGAGCGAACAGG